AGCGAACGCUGGCGGCAGGCCUAACACAUGCAAGUCGAACGAACUCUUCGGGGUUAGUGGCGGACGGGUGAGUAACCCGUGGGAACGUGCCUUUAGGUUCGGAAUAACUCAGGGAAACUUGUGCUAAUACCGAAUGUGCUCUUCGGGGGAAAGAUUUAUCGCCUUUAGAGUGGCCCGCGUCUGAUUAGUUAGUUGGUGAGGUAAAGGCUCACAAAGGCGUCGUUCAGUAGCUGGUCUGAGAGGAUGAUCCGCCACAUUGGGACUAAGACACGGCCCGAACUCCUACGGGAGGCAGCAGUGGCGAAUCUAGCCCAAUCGGCGAAAGCCAGACGCACCCCUGCCGCGUGAAUGAUGAAGGUCUUAGGAUUGUAAAAUUCUUUCACCGGGGACGAUAAUGACGGUACCCGGAGAAGAAGCCCCGGCUAACUUCGUG
rnacentral:rRNA from 1 species